AUGGCUGGCGGCAAUUUUAUGCAUAGAGUUAUCUCUUAUUUCGUGAAUGAAGUGGUUGUCAAUGGUCUUGCCAACAGUCCUGCAUUUCAGAGGUUUGCAGUGAGGACAUCAAAGAAUAUCGAAGAUAUUUCAAAAAAAGCAAUUCAGAAGCGACAAGAACUUGCUGAGCAGCUUAAGGACCUUCCCCAAAAAAUGGAUUCUUUCAAAAACCGGUGA